rnacentral:rRNA from 1 species
GAGUUUGAUCAUGGCUCAGAUUGAACGCUGGCGGCAGGCCUAACACAUGCAAGUCGAGCGGAAACGAUGGAGUGCUUGCACUCCAGGCGUCGAGCGGCGGACGGGUGAGUAACGCGUGGGAAUUUGCCCUUUGGCGGGGGAUAGCCCGGGGAAACUCGGAUUAAUACCGCAUAAGCCCUACGGGGGAAAGGUGGCCUCUACUUGUAAGCUAUCGCCGAAGGAUGAGCCCGCGUCAGAUUAGCUUGUUGGUGGGGUAAUGGCCUACCAAGGCGACGAUCUGUAGCUGGUCUGAGAGGAUGAUCAGCCACACCGGAACUGAGACACGGUCCGGACUCCUACGGGAGGCAGCAGUGGGGAAUCUUGGACAAUGGGGGCAACCCUGAUCCAGCCAUGCCGCGUGUGUGAAGAAGGCCUUCGGGUUGUAAAGCACUUUCAGCGAGGAGGAAAAGCAGCGGUUAAUACCUGUCUGUUUUGACGUUACUCGCAGAAGAAGCACCGGCUAAUUUCGUGCCAGCAGCCGCGGUA